AGGGCACCAGCGAAAGUGGAGACUGCUCAAGGAUUUGACUCAACACGGGAAAACUCACCCGGCCCGGACACUGGAAGGAUUGACAGAUUGAGAGCUCUUUCUUGAUUCAGUGGGUGGUGGUGCAUGGCCGUUCUUAGUUGGUGGAGUGAUUUGUCUGGUUAAUUCCGAUAACGAACGAGACUCUGGCCUACUAAAUAGAUCGUCGGCUUACAAACGCCGGCGAGACUUCUUAGAGGGACAGGCGGUGAUUCAACCGCACGAAACAGAGCAAUAACAGAUCUGUGAUGCCCUUAGAUGUCCGGGGCCGCACGCGCGCUACACUGAAGUGAUCAGCGUGCUUUUUCAACCUACUCUGUCAAGAGUGGGGAACCCAGUGAACCUUCUUCGUGAUUGGGAUAGGGGAUUGUAAUUAUUCCCCUUGAACGAGGAAUUCCCAGUAAGCGCGAGUCAUAAGCUCGCGUUGAUUACGCCCCUGCCCUUUGUACACACCGCCCGUCGCUACUACCGAUUGAAUGUUUU
rnacentral:rRNA from 1 species